GUAAGUGCAGUAAUGUAUUUAGCUUAUCAGGGGACUGAAAAUCCCCGUGUCGGUGGUUCGAUUCCGCCUCUGGGCACCAAAAUAUGGCGGUAUAGCUUAGUUGGCUAGAGCGUUCGGUUCAUACCCGAAAGGUCAUAGGUUCGACUCCUAUUACCGCUACUAAAAUUUAAUGUGGGCCAUUAGCUCAGUUGGUUAGAGCGCCCGGCUCAUAACCGGUAGGUCUGGGGUUCGAGUCCCUGAUGGCCCACCACAUUAAAUUAAUUAAUAUAAAUUCGAGGUGUAGCGCAGUUUGGUAGCGCACAUGGUUUGGGACCAUGGGGCCGGGGGUUCGAGUCCCUUCACCUCGACCAAUAUAAGGUGGGUAUAGCUCAGUUGGUUAGAGCGCCAGAUUGUGGCUCUGGAGGUCGUGAGUUCGACUCUCAUUAUCCACCCCAAUUCAUAUGGUCUAUUAGCUCAGUCGGUAGAGCACCUGACUUUUAAUCAGGGUGUCCCGCGUUCGAGUCGCGGAUAGAUCACCAAAAAGGUGGCGACAUAGCCAAGUGGUAAGGCAGUGGACUGCAACUCCUUGAUCCCCAGUUCGAAUCUGGGUGUCGCCUCCAAAAUAUUCCAAGGUAGCUCAACGGUGGAGCAACCGGCUGUUAACCGGUAGGCUGUGGGUUCGAGCCCCACCCUUGGAGCCAAAAAAGCCGAAGUGGCGGAACUGGCAGACGCACAGGACUUAAAAUCCUGCGGGACUUACCUCUCGUACCGGUUCGAUUCCGGUCUUCGGCACUUAUAAAACAAUAUCGCGGAGUGGAGCAGUUGGCAGCUCGUCGGGCUCAUAACCCGAAGGUCGUAGGUUCAAGUCCUGCCUCCGCAACCAUUAAAAUGGCUCGUUGGUCAAGAGGUUAAGACACCGCCCUUUCACGGCGGUAACAGGGGUUCAAUUCCCCUACGAGUCACCAAUUAAAUAUGCGGGUGUAGCUCAAUGGUAGAGUUCUGGCCUUCCAAGCCAGCUGUGAGGGUUCGAUCCCCUUCACCCGCUCCAAAAAUGGGACCAUAGCUCAGCUGGGAGAGCACCUGCCUUACAAGCAGGGGGUCACAGGUUCGAGCCCUGUUGGUCCCACCAUUUGCGGCCUGGUAGUUCAGUUGGUUAGAAUGCCAGCCUGUCACGCUGGAGGUCGAGGGUUCGANGGUGGGUGAGGAGAGUAUCCUAAGGCCAGCGAGAGAACUGUUGUUAAGGAACUCGGCAAAAUGACCCCGUAACUUAGGGAUAAGGGGUGCCACCAUCAGGUGGCCGCAGAGAAUAGGCCCAAGCGACUGUUUACCAAAAACAUAGGUUUCUGCUAAGUCGCAAGACGAUGUAUAGGAGCUGACGCCUGCCCGGUGCUGGAAGGUUAAGGGGAUCUGUUAGAGCAAUCGAAGCAGUGAACUUAAGCCCCAGUAAACGGCGGCCGUAACUAUAACGGUCCUAAGGUAGCGAAAUUCCUUGUCGGGUAAGUUCCGACCCGCACGAAAGGCGUAACGAUUUGGGCACUGUCUCAACAACAGACUCGGUGAAAUUGUAAUUCCGGUGAAGAUGCCGGAUACCUGCGACAGGACGGAAAGACCCCAUGGAGCUUUACUGUAGCUUGACAUUGGGUCUUGGUACUACAUGUACAGGAUAGGUGGGAGGCUUUGAAACCAGGACGCCAGUUUUGGCGGAGCCAUCCUUGGGAUACCACCCUUGUAGUACUGGGACUCUAACCAUAGGCCAUGAAUCUGGUCUUGGGACACUGUCAGGUGGGCAGUUUGACUGGGGCGGUCGCCUCCCAAAAGGUAACGGAGGCGCUCAAAGGUUCUCUCAGUACGGUCGGAAAUCGUACGUAGAGUGUAAAGGCAAAAGAGAGCUUGAUUGCAAGACAUACAGGUCGAGCAAGGAUGAAAAUCGGACUUAGUGAUCCGGUGGUUCUGCGUGGAAGGGCCAUCGCUCAACGGAUAAAAGCUACCCUGGGGAUAACAGGCUUAUCUCCCCCAAGAGUCCACAUCGACGGGGAGGUUUGGCACCUCGAUGUCGGCUCAUCACAUCCUGGGGCUGUAGUAGGUCCCAAGGGUUGGGCUGUUCGCCCAUUAAAGUGGUACGCGAGCUGGGUUCAGAACGUCGUGAGACAGUUCGGUCCCUAUCCGUCGCAGGCGUAGGAAAUUUGAGAAGACCUGUCCUUAGUACGAGAGGACCGGGAUGGACGUACCUCUGGUGUACCAGUUGUCCUGCCAAGGGCAUGGCUGGGUAGCUAUGUACGGAAUGGAUAAGCGCUGAAAGCAUCUAAGCGCGAAGCCAACUUCAAGAUAAGAUUUCCCACCGCAAGGGUAAGACCCCAGAAAGACUAUCUGGUUGAUAGGUCGAAGGUGUAAGUGCAGUAAUGUAUUUAGCUUAUCGAUACUAAUAGGUCGAGGACUUGACCAA
rnacentral:rRNA from 1 species